GGUCCACCGAUUCUAUAUGCAAGUUUUCGUGCAGAUCGGACUCACAUCCCAAGAGUAGUUAGACAAAGCAGGUUUACCAUUUAUUGCGAUGUGGCUAAUUAAUAAAAAAGUUG